GACGAACGCUGGCGGCGUGCUUAACACAUGCAAGUCGAACGAUGAAGCCUAGCUUGCUAGGUGGAUUAGUGGCGAACGGGUGAGUAAUACGUGAGUGACCUACCUUUGACUCUGGGAUAAGCCUGGGAAACUGGGUCUAAUACCGGAUACGACCAAUCUCCGCAUGGGGUGUUGGUGGAAAGCGUUAUGGAGUGGUUUUAGAUGGGCUCACGGCCUAUCAGCUUGUUGGUGAGGUAAUGGCUUACCAAGGCGACGACGGGUAGCCGGCCUGAGAGGGUGACCGGCCACACUGGGACUGAGACACGGCCCAGACUCCUACGGGAGGCAGCAGUGGGGAAUAUUGCACAAUGGGCGCAAGCCUGAUGCAGCGACGCCGCGUGAGGGAUGACGGCCUUCGGGUUGUAAACCUCUGUUAGCAUCGAAGAAGCGAAAGUGACGGUAGGAGCAGAGAAAGCGCCGGCUAACUACGUG
rnacentral:rRNA from 1 species